rnacentral:rRNA from 1 species
AUGGUUUUUUUUGGUACCGAGUCACCACGAACCGAAAAAACUCCUAGCGACGCCCCACCCAGUCCACACGCAAACCUCCCUCGCACCAGAGAAAAACGGACGAAAAAAACCUACGAAAGAAAACCAGCGAAAAAAAAUCAGAGAAUAAAUCGCACGAGCGAGGCCUCCUGCCCUCGAGCGACCAGUCGCACGCCCGACUCGCACACCAGAUCCCUUCACCGCUGCCCUCCAUCCUUCGCCACCGCAGAUCCAUCUCGCCGCCGCCGCCCUCCAUUCCUCUCUUCCCUUCAAGCUUGUCAACGGCGAAGCAUACGGCGCUCCAUCCCUUCGCCUCCAGGAACCUACCACGUGCGCCGAGGCGAGGGUCUCAUGGACUCCGUCCGUCGCCGCUUGGCUGACGACCCCGCCGCCGGGCAGGAGGAGUGUUCCGCGCCAGCGAGCGCCCGCGAAUACCUAGCUAGCCGCCGCCGUCGUGACCGUUCUAGCCACCGCCAAGGUAAGAUGCUUUCUCCAUCUCAAUUUCCUUCCUUCCCCAUCAAGGUUAAUUUGGAUGCGUACUUAAGUGAUUUUGGUGUUGCUCAUUGGAUUUGUAUAUUCAAAUAUAUAGAGGUAAAGUGCUCACUUGGGGAAGUUUCUGCUAUUGUUAAGCCUGAUGUCGAAGAGUUGGACAUGAUUUGUGAAUCUAUGUGCAGUGAUCAGACUUGCCCUGAGACUGCAAGGUCCCUCAAAGAGAAGUGUUUUUCAUAUGCUCCUGAAUCUGGUGUGCGGUAUGAUGGAGUUUACAAAAUUGAGAACUGUUGGAGGAAGAUUGGUGUUCAGGUGCCAACAACAAGUGGGGAGAGAAUCAAUGCAACCCUUGCUGAGGAUCUCCAAUUCUUCAAAAGGCAAGCAUCACCACUGUUUUUGUUCCUGUGGCUGCUAAGUCAUGAUGUGCCGGUUGAUAUUAUCUGCUCCCCAACUCAGGCCAUCUUGAAAAAUACUAAGAACCCAAGCCACAAGAUGAGAGAAGGAUCGUCGGACAUGAGCGGCGGCAUCCGGCGCCAGUUCUUAAACCUGGGGCUGUUUGAUGGGCGCAAACGCGCAUAUUCACUGCGCCGCUUGGACCUCUCCAAGAUGGACUUUUUUCAUCGGACCGCACAAGAGGCGCCCACACAUGGCAAGGUGGUGCCAACACUGACGCCCGCCAAGGCAUGUGCGCCCAACAGGAGAAGGAUCUGCAAGACCGACUUGGCGACGGCAGAGGCCGCGGCACCCAAGCCAAUGGACUUUUUUCACCGGACCGCACAAGAGGCGCCCACACAUGGCAAGGUGUUGCCAACACUGACACCCGCCAAGGCAUGUGCGCCCAAGAGGAGAUGGAUCUGCAAGACCGACUUGGCGACGGCAGAGGCCGCGGCACCCAAGAUCAAUCCGCCAAAAAGCGAGCUGCUCGUGAGGCCACCGGAAGUCUCCUACUCCAUCAGGUCUCCUCGUUGUCUUCAUUUCUUGCCCACGACCUCGGAGAGCAAGCCUCAACGGGUACAAGCACUCGCCGCUGGCCAUCUCUGUCCCUCCGACGGACUUGCACCUCCAUGGACGGCGAAGACACCGGCAACCUCUACAUCAUUGACGCUCACCUGCAAGGUCAACCCCUCCCCCCGGUCCUUCCCCGACAUCAUCAGCGAGUACCUCGGGGCAGAGCCCGCGCUACCGUACCUGAGCCCCUACAUGCGCGGCGAGAACCUGCUCGUCGGUGCCAACUUCGCGUCCGCCGGCGUCGGCAUCCUCAACGACACAGGCGUGCAAUUCUCAAGCUCCACGCGCACGAACACACACAUGCUCGAAUCAUGUCGACCCAUAGACAGGGAAAGGAGGCGAUGGCUGGUGGGGAGAGGAGCCGAGGGAUGUGUUGUGGCGGGACAAGAGGCGCAGUGGCAGGGAGAGAAGGUGAAGACUACGCCAUGGAUUACUCCUGCAAUGACGAAGCACAUGAUCAUAUUAAUGGCGGGUUUUGAGAUGAAGGAUUGGGAAACGAACGGGGCUCGCCCCUGCUGCCAUGGCCGCCGGCGACCGGAGCCGCCGUGUGUGUCCUUCCCGUCCAUGCCGUUCAUGCCGCUCGAUCGGGUCGCCUCUGCCCGGCUCCUCUCGCCCCGAUUGCCCAUGCUCGCCUGCCGCCGCAUGGCCUCGUGUCUGCUUCGAUCAGACAAACGAAGUUGUCACCGCCAGCUUCGUCAGUUUCAGGAUGUGAGCGCUGCUUGUGUUGACCAUGCCCUGAACCACCCAAGGCCUCCUGCCUCCCUGAUGCUCGUCACCGAGCACCAGUGCUCCAAGGCAGGCCCUUCUGCAGCUCCUCGCCACCUCCCUCUCCUUCCCUGGUUCUUCCUUCUUCCUAACCUUGUGGUCUCUCUCUGGUGGAUCACAGGAACCCCGCCAUCGCCGUUCGAGCUCCCCGGCCGGAUCUCCCUCUCCGCCGCCGGGAACGAGCUCCCAACGCCCAGAUCCGCUCCUCCUCGCCUCGUCCAUGUUGCCGGAAGCCGCACCUUGGACCUCUGCACCCUCACCGGAGCAAGCUCGUCCCAAGUCCCGCCAAGUCCCCUACCACGCCGGAGCCAGCUGCAGCUCCGUCCCCGCCGCUGUUUGCCUCGCCACCGUCUAGGACCCUGUGCCGCCCCACUUCCUCCACUCUCGGCCUCGCCUGGUUCAUCUCCGCCGGAGUCCCGCUGGUGUUGCUGCUCUGAAUCGUCCCAGGGCGCUCGAACCUGUCUGCUUCCGGCCCUGCUUCCUCUGCAUCAAGGACGAGGCCAACGCCAAGUCCAGCUCGAUCCCCUGCCCGCGUUGACCCGCUCAAGCGCCAGCGUGGACCAGCUCCAGUCGGCCUGA